rnacentral:rRNA from 1 species
GAUGAACGCUGGCGGCGUGCCUAAUACAUGCAAGUCGAGCGAACAGACGAGGCGCCUGCUCCUCUGACGUUAGCGGCGGACGGGUGAGUCACACGUGGAUAACCUCCCUAUAAGACUGGGAUAAUUUCGGGAAAGCGGCGCUAAUACCGGAUAAUCUCUUGAACCGCGUGGGUCAUUAGUGAAAGACGGCUUUGCUGUCACUUAUCGAUGGAUCUCGGCCGCAUUAGCUAGUUGUGAAGGUAACGGCUUGCCAAGGCAAGGAUGCGUAGCCGACAUGAGGGGAGGAUCGGCCACACUGGAGCGGGGACGCGGUCAAGGGUCCUACGGGAGGCAGCAGUAGGGAAUCGGACGCAAUGGGCGGAAGCCUGGCGGAGCAACGCGGCGUGAGUGAUGAAGGUCUUCGGUUCGUAAACAUCGGUUAUGAGGGAAAAACAAAUGUGUAAGGAACUAUGGACGUCGUGACGGUACCUAAUCAGAAAGCCACGGCUAACUACGUG